CCUGUAGCAGCCAGGAGCAGCCUGCACUCCAGGCGUGUAUUGGACACAGUAGUGUCGGAGCCCGGCCCGGGGCUGCCCUGGUACAGCCGUGUUGUGUACGUGGACGAUCAGGUCAUCUAUGUCUACACCAGCGGGAUGCAGAGGGCGGAGCCUCGCACAGCGUGGAUGGCACAGAACGAGGGUCCGGAGUUCUGGGACGAGAGGAUCUGGUGGGCACAGCGCCACCAGAAAUGGUUCAAAGCAAGUCUGAACACCCUGGGUCAGCUCUACAACCAGAGCGAGGGGGACACAUUUCCGGGGUUUUCCCUGCUCCUAGAAGGACUAGAAGUUACUGCUUUAAGAAAAGAGAGCUGAGAUGCUCCUCUAAUCCCAUGAGUCCAGGAACUGGGGAUUUAAUAAAACCACCCGCUAUCAUGAGACACACAGUAAAGUCACAAAAGCAGGCAGUGCUGCAUUCACCCAGCCCUGGGGAGAAGCUGUUCACCGAUGAACCUCCUUCAUUGUUCGCUUUGUCUUAUUUCCCAGGUGAGUUUGUUUAAGGUCAGAUUCCUCUUCACUCCGCAGAGUGAGGGACUGACAUCGACUUGAGCUGGAGAGUUAGUGACAGAAUCAGCCCCUGCAACGUGCAGAGACUCCCAGGCUUCCUGACUCCUGGCAGCACAAACCCCUGCCCGUGUCCCAGAGUUGGAGCCCCCAGGGUCAGGCAGGUUCCCCUGCACACUAUCGAUAGAUGUGUAAAGAGCCGUUCUUCCUGCUCAGUCCCUGAUGUGUGGGGCUAUAGCCACCUGGCCAGGCCCCUGGAUUGUGCUGUUAAACUUAGCACGGGAUGAUCCAUAAGCGUUCAGUGCCUGGCGCUGCUGAACUGUUCCUGGCAGGCGAGGGUCUCUGAUGUAAUUCCUCUGCCCUUCCUGACAGGGGACUGGCGAGUAAAGGUCCCUGAUUCCCCUGUGUCAGUGGUACUGGCCUGUGACAUUGGUGCUCACCCAGGAGUGUCCCCAAUCCCUCCUGGUUCGCAGCAAUGAGAACUGAUUCCUGUCCUGGACAUCUGGGUUCUCGGUAGCCCUGUCCCAGAACUAAGCGACAGGGCGGAGGGUUGCCAAGUGUCUGCCCCCCUAGCACGCCCCCUCUGUAGCUAGUUUAGCCCUCUCCUGACUAGUCUCGCCCAUUGGUCCCCUGCUGCUGAGCCUGUCCAGCCUGACCUGCUCACCCGGACACUGGCCUCCCCAGUGCUGAGAGAGGGGCUCCGCUCACCCAUCCCUAAACCUGUGCUGGGGAGCUGCUGUUCUGUCCCCACUGCCAUCUCCCCAAUUACUGUCCCAACUGCCCCCUCCUGCCCUCCUCCCGCCAUUUACCCCCUCCUUGCAGUCCUGGGGCUGCCAGCUCGCCGGAGACUGUCCUGAGUCCUGCAUCUUGGCCAACAACGGUGUUCCCCACUCUAGCUGCGUCUGUCCCCAACACGCACAUGGGGGAAUUUGUGGUCUAGUCCCUCUGAGACCCCAUUGGUGCCCACAUUCUGCUAAUCCCUGUGGAGUCAGCAUGUUCACUACCACCAUUGCUGGCAGUACAACAGUUGGUGCCAGCAGUGCAGGCAAACAGAAGGGAGCAUGAUGCCCCGAGCUCCCGUUUGGUACCAGGCCCCUUGCUCUCUGCUUAUGUCGAAGGCCCCAUCUCGGCCCCGAUCCCUAGAUCCUCAGCACCAUCCCUUGGAGCCAACGGGUACCACUCCCCCCUCAUCCCCACAAGAUGACUCAUCAUCCAAGUUGGAGUUUGAAUCUUGCACCCAGCCAAGGGACUGGUACCAGUACCCCACCAGUCAGCCCUAUGCAACGGUGGAUCCCAGGGUUGGUGUUCCUCCGAGAGCCUGGCUCAGUAGGCAAUGGCCCAUGCAGAUGCAAUGGCCUUUUUGGAACCCCUGGGGUUUUUGUCUGCUGCCUGGCCCCCUGUCUAGGCACUCCUACUCAGUGGUGUCUGAGAGAAGGAUUCCUCUGUCACACCAAACAGCAGCUGAUCCAGACUACGACACAGAGGCAGGUACUGACACUCAGAACCUGGAGCUACGGGAUCCGGUUGGUGCAGAAGGAGAGGAGGAAGGUCCCAUGCAGGUGCAGACUGCCUCCUCCUCCUCGCCAGAAGAGGCAGGGAUGGGUGUUUCCCCUCCCCAGGACACUUCAAGGCUCACCAGAAGUUAUUGAAGAAGGUGGCCUUGAACUUAGGGGGAGGUGGUUAAAAAGUCUUCCAACAGCCCGGUCAACAUCUGGGCUGCAAUGGCCCCACUGAAGGUAGCUCUGCUUCUGUGAGGCUAUCAUGGGUCCAAUUAAAACUCUGUGGCAGACCCCUUCCUCACUGCCC